UAGGGAAUCUUCCGCAAUGGACGCAAGUCUGACGGAGCAACGCCGCGUGAGUGAAGAAGGAUUUCGGUUCGUAAAACUCUGUUGUUAGAGAAGAACAGCGCAUAGAGUAACUGUUAUGCGUGUGACGGUAUCUAACCAGAAAGCCACGGCUAACUACGUGCCAGCAGCCGCGGUAAUACGUAGGUGGCAAGCGUUGUCCGGAUUUAUUGGGCGUAAAGCGAGCGCAGGCGGUCAAUUAAGUCUGAUGUGAAAGCCCCCGGCUCAACCGGGGAGGGUCAUUGGAAACUGGUUGACUUGAGUGCAGAAGAGGGGAGUGGAAUUCCAUGUGUAGCGGUGAAAUGCGUAGAUAUAUGGAGGAACACCAGUGGCGAAGGCGACUCUCUGGGCUGUAACUGACGCUGAGGCUCGAAAGCGUGGGUAGCAAACAGG
rnacentral:rRNA from 1 species